AGGCGACGACGGGUAGCCGGCCUGAGAGGGCGACCGGCCACACUGGGACUGAGACACGGCCCAGACUCCUACGGGAGGCAGCAGUGGGGAAUAUUGCGCAAUGGGCGAAAGCCUGACGCAGCAACGCCGCGUGCGGGAUGAAGGCCUUCGGGUUGUAAACCGCUUUCAGCAGGGAAGAAGCCGCAAGGUGACGGUACCUGCAGAAGAAGCACCGGCUAACUACGUGCCAGCAGCCGC
rnacentral:rRNA from 1 species